rnacentral:rRNA from 1 species
GACGAACGCUGGCGGCGUGCUUAACACAUGCAAGUCGAACGGUAAGGCCCUUCGGGGUACACGAGUGGCGAACGGGUGAGUAACACGUGGGUGAUCUGCCCUGCACUUCGGGAUAAGCCUAGGAAACUGGGUCUAAUACCGGAUAGGACCACUGCCUGCAUGGGGGGUGGUGGAAAGCUUUUGCGGUGUGGGAUGGGCCCGCGGCCUAUCAGCUUGUUGGUGGGGUGAUGGCCUACCAAGGCGACGACGGGUAGCCGGCCUGAGAGGGUGACCGGCCACACUGGGACUGAGAUACGGCCCAGACUCCUACGGGAGGCAGCAGUGGGGAAUAUUGCACAAUGGGCGCAAGCCUGAUGCAGCGACGCCGCGUGAGGGAUGACGGCCUUCGGGUUGUAAACCCCUUUCAGCACCGACGAAGCGCAAGUGACGGUAGGUGCAGAAGAAGGACCGGCCAACUACGUGCCAGCCGCCGCCGUAA